AUACGGAGGGUGCAAGCGUUAAUCGGAAUUACUGGGCGUAAAGCGCGCGUAGGCGGUUAUUUAAGUCAGAUGUGAAAUCCCUGGGCUCAACCUAGGAACUGCAUCUGAUACUGGGUAACUAGAGUUUUGGAGAGGUAAGUGGAAUUUCCGGUGUAGCGGUGAAAUGCAUAGAGAUCAGAAGGAACACCAGUGGCGAAGGCGACUUACUGGCCAAAAACUGACGCUGAGGUGCGAAGGCGUGGGUAGCAAACAGGAUUAGAUACCCUAGUAGUCC
rnacentral:rRNA from 1 species